rnacentral:rRNA from 1 species
UACGUAGGGGGCAAGCGUUGUCCGGAAUUAUUGGGCGUAAAGAGCGUGUAGGCGGUCCGGUAAGUCAGCUGUGAAAGUCAAGGGCUCAACCCUUGAAAGCCGGUUGAUACUGUCGGGCUAGAGUCCGGAAGAGGCGAGUGGAAUUCCCGGUGUAGCGGUGAAAUGCGCAGAUAUCGGGAAGAACACCCGUGGCGAAGGCGGUUCUCUGGGACGGUACUGACGCUGAGACGCGAAAGCGUGGGGAGCGAACAGG